UUCUCUUGCAAAAAUCUCAACUCUUCCCCGCCCAAGUUCUUCUCUUGGGCUAUCGGAUUUCGCGACAGGGGCUGUGUGUUCAAUCGAGGACGAAGAGAGCAUCUCAGAUUGUGAUUUCUCAUCAUAAAUUCAGAUGCGACGGAGUUUCUAAACUUGGUGGAUGACUCGGUUCAAGCAUAUCAAAGUCUUAUGCACGAUUUUGAUGAGUUUUGGAGCACUAUGACAAGGUAGAUGCAUUGUUGUUACUUGCUUUGA
rnacentral:lncRNA from 1 species